rnacentral:rRNA from 1 species
CCUACGGGUGGCUGCAGUGGGGAAUAUUGGACAAUGGGCGAAAGCCUGAUCCAGCCAUGCCGCGUGUGUGAAGAAGGCCUUCGGGUUGUAAAGCACUUUCAGUGGGGAAGAAAGCCUUGGGGCUAAUACCCUCGAGGAAGGACAUCACCCACAGAAGAAGCACCGGCUAACUCCGUGCCAGCAGCCGCGGUAAUACGGAGGGUGCGAGCGUUAAUCGGAAUUACUGGGCGUAAAGCGCGCGUAGGCGGUCUGAUAAGCCGGUUGUGAAAGCCCCGGGCUCAACCUGGGAACGGCAUCCGGAACUGUCAGGCUAGAGUGCAGGAGAGGAAGGUAGAAUUCCCGGUGUAGCGGUGAAAUGCGUAGAGAUCGGGAGGAAAACCAGUGGCGAAGGCGGCCUUCUGGACUGACACUGACGCUGAGGUGCGAAAGCGUGGGUAGCAAACAGGAUUAGAUACCCCUGUAGU